ACCUGAUUGAUUUUGGUCGCCAACGAGUGGCGGACGGGUGAGUAACACGUAGGUAACCUGCCCAGAAGCGGGGGACAACAUUUGGAAACAGAUGCUAAUACCGCAUAACAGCGUUGUUCGCAUGAACAACGCUUAAAAGAUGGCUUCUCGCUAUCACUUCUGGAUGGACCUGCGGUGCAUUAGCUUGUUGGUGGGGUAACGGCCUACCAAGGCGAUGAUGCAUAGCCGAGUUGAGAGACUGAUCGGCCACAAUGGGACUGAGACACGGCCCAUACUCCUACGGGAGGCAGCAGUAGGGAAUCUUCCACAAUGGGCGCAAGCCUGAUGGAGCAACACCGCGUGAGUGAAGAAGGGUUUCGGCUCGUAAAGCUCUGUUGUUAAAGAAGAACACGUAUGAGAGUAACUGUUCAUACGUUGACGGUAUUUAACCAGAAAGUCACGGCUAACUACGUGCCAGCAGCCGCGGUAAUACGUAGGUGGCAAGCGUUAUCCGGAUUUAUUGGGCGUAAAGAGAGUGCAGGCGGUUUUCUAAGUCUGAUGUGAAAGCCUUCGGCUUAACCGGAGAAGUGCAUCGGAAACUGGAUAACUUGAGUGCAGAAGAGGGUAGUGGAACUCCAUGUGUAGCGGUGGAAUGCGUAGAUAUAUGGAAGAACACCAGUGGCGAAGGCGGCUACCUGGUCUGCAACUGACGCUGAGACUCGAAAGCAUGGGUAGCGAACAGGAUUAGAUACCCUGGUAGUCCAUGCCGUAAACGAUGAGUGCUAGGUGUUGGAGGGUUUCCGCCCUUCAGUGCCGGAGCUAACGCAUUAAGCACUCCGCCUGGGGAGUACGACCGCAAGGUUGAAACUCAAAGGAAUUGACGGGGGCCCGCACAAGCGGUGGAGCAUGUGGUUUAAUUCGAAGCUACGCGAAGAACCUUACCAGGUCUUGACAUCUUGCGCCAACCCUAGAGAUAGGGCGUUUCCUUCGGGAACGCAAUGACAGGUGGUGCAUGGUCGUCGUCAGCUCGUGUCGUGAGAUGUUGGGUUAAGUCCCGCAACGAGCGCAACCCUUGUUACUAGUUGCCAGCAUUAAGUUGGGCACUCUAGUGAGACUGCCGGUGACAAACCGGAGGAAGGUGGGGACGACGUCAGAUCAUCAUGCCCCUUAUGACCUGGGCUACACACGUGCUACAAUGGACGGUACAACGAGUCGCGAACUCGCGAGGGCAAGCAAAUCUCUUAAAACCGUUCUCAGUUCGGACUGCAGGCUGCAACUCGCCUGCACGAAGUCGGAAUCGCUAGUAAUCGCGGAUCAGCAUGCCGCGGUGAAUACGUUCCCGGGCCUUGUACACACCGCCCGUCACACCAUGAGAGUUUGUAACA
rnacentral:rRNA from 2 species